rnacentral:rRNA from 1 species
UCUAGCCAUGCCGCGUGUGUGAUGAAGGCCCUAGGGUCGUAAAGCACUUUCGCCAGAGAUGAUAAUGACAGUAUCUGGUAAAGAAACCCCGGCUAACUCCGUGCCAGCAGCCGCGGUAAUACGGAGGGGGUUAGCGUUGUUCGGAAUUACUGGGCGUAAAGCGCACGUAGGCGGAUUAGUAAGUUAGAGGUGAAAUCCCAGGGCUCAACCCUGGAACUGCCUUUAAUACUGCUAGUCUUGAGUUCGAGAGAGGUAAGUGGAAUUCCGAGUGUAGAGGUGAAAUUCGUAGAUAUUUGGAGGAACACCAGUGGCGAAGGCGGCUCACUGGCUCGAUACUGACGCUGAGGUACGAAAGUGUGGGGAGCAAACAGGAUUAGAUACCCUGGUAGUCCACACCGUAAACGAUGAAUGCCAGACGUCAGCAAGCAUGCUUGUUGGUGUCACACCUAACGGAUUAAGCAUUCCGCCUGGGGAGUACGGUCGCAAGAUUAAAACUCAGAGGAAUUGACGGGGGCCCGCACAAGCGGUGGAGCAUGUGGUUUAAUUCGACGCAACGCGCAGAACCUUACCAACCCUUGACAUACUUGUCGCGGAUUCCAGAGAUGGAUUCCUUCAGUUCGGCUGGACAAUGUACAGGUGCUGCAUGGCUGUCGUCAGCUCGUGUCGUGAGAUGUUCGGUUAAGUCCGGCAACGAGCGCAACCCACGUCCUUAGUUACCAGCAUUUAGUUGGGUACCCUAAGGAGACUGCCGGUGAUAAGCCGGAGGAAGGUGUGGACGACGUCAAGUCAUCAUGGCCCUUACGGGUUGGGCUACACACGUGCUACAAUGG